UUCGAUCAACUACCCGGAUUGGCUGAUUUGGUCUCAGGGCAUCAUCACUAGUCUUCAGCAAUGGAUUCUUCUUCACAUCAUGACUGGCCGGGAGUUUGACAUUGUGGACUUUAUUCUUUGUGAGAUUUAAGAAGUUAUCCAUGAUGGGUUAACCAUUUCCCAACAAAUGCCAUAUGCUCACUGGAUCUCCAAUAUCCUAAGUCAUCUUACUAAAAAAAAGAACGGUAGAGACGUG
rnacentral:lncRNA from 1 species